GCCCCAGUAACGGCGAGUGAAGCGGCAACAGCUCAAAUUUGAAAUCUGGCCCCCCCCGGGGGGCCCGAGUUGUAAUUUGCAGAGGAUGCUUUGGGCGAGGCGCCUUCCGAGUUCCCUGGAACGGGACGCCACAGAGGGUGAGAGCCCCGUCUGGUCGGACGCCGAGCCUCUGUAGAGCUCCUUCGACGAGUCGAGUAGUUUGGGAAUGCUGCUCAAAACGGGAGGUAUAUGUCUUCUAAAGCUAAAUACCGGCCAGAGACCGAUAGCGCACAAGUAGAGUGAUCGAAAGAUGAAAAGCACCUUGAAAAGGGGGUUAAACAGUACGUGAAAUUGUUGAAAGGGAAGCGCUCGUGACCAGACUUGGGGCGAACAUCCGGCGUUCUCGCCGGUGCACUCUGCCAGUCCAGGCCAGCAUCAGUUUGCCCCGGGGGAUAAAGGCGGCGGGAAUGUGGCUCCCUUCGGGGAGUGUUAUAGCCCGUCGUGUAAUGCCCUGGGGCGGACUGA
rnacentral:rRNA from 1 species